AGCGAACGCUGGCGGCAUGCUUAACACAUGCAAGUCGCGCGGGUGGUUUCGGCCAUCAGCGGCGGACGGGUGAGUAUCGCGUAGGAAUGUAUCCCGAGGUGGGGGACAACCCUGGGAAACUGGGGCUAAUACCGCAUGGGGCCUGUGGGUCAAAGCCUUAGGGCGCCUUGGGAGCAGCCUGCGUCCGAUUAGGUAGUUGGUGGGGUAAAGGCCUACCAAGCCUGCGAUCGGUAGCUGGUCUGAGAGGACGAUCAGCCACACUGGGUCUGAGACACGGCCCAGACUCCUACGGGAGGCAGCAGUGGGGAAUAUUGGACAAUGGGCGCAAGCCUGAUCCAGCAAUGCCGCGUGGGUGAAGAAGGUCUUCGGAUUGUAAAGCCCUUUCGGCGGGGACGAUGAUGACGGUACCCGCAGAAGAAGCCCCGGCUAACUUCGUG
rnacentral:rRNA from 1 species